GAAGAGUUUGAUCAUGGCUCAGAUUGAACGCUGGCGGCAGGCCUAACACAUGCAAGUCGAACGGUAACAGGAAGCAGCUUGCUGCUUUGCUGACGAGUGGCGGACGGGUGAGUAAUGUCUGGGAAACUGCCUGAUGGAGGGGGAUAACUACUGGAAACGGUGGCUAAUACCGCAUAACGUCGCAAGACCAAAGAGGGGGACCUUCGGGCCUCUUGCCAUCAGAUGUGCCCAGAUGGGAUUAGCUUGUUGGUGAGGUAACGGCUCACCAAGGCGACGAUCCCUAGCUGGUCUGAGAGGAUGACCAGCCACACUGGAACUGAGACACGGUCCAGACUCCUACGGGAGGCAGCAGUGGGGAAUAUUGCACAAUGGGCGCAAGCCUGAUGCAGCCAUGCCGCGUGUAUGAAGAAGGCCUUCGGGUUGUAAAGUACUUUCAGCGGGGAGGAAGGUGUUGUGGUUAAUAACCGCAGCAAUUGACGUUACCCGCAGAAGAAGCACCGGCUAACUCCGUGCCAGCAGCCGCGGUAAUACGGAGGGUGCAAGCGUUAAUCGGAAUUACUGGGCGUAAAGCGCACGCAGGCGGUCUGUCAAGUCGGAUGUGAAAUCCCCGGGCUCAACCUGGGAACUGCAUUCGAAACUGGCAGGCUUGAGUC
rnacentral:rRNA from 3 species